CUACGGGAGGCAGCAGUGGGGAAUUUUCCGCAAUGGGCGAAAGCCUGACGGAGCAAUACCGCGUGAGGGAGGAAGGCUCUUGGGUUGUAAACCUCUUUUCUCAGGGAAGAACAAAAUGACGGUACCUGAGGAAUAAGCAUCGGCUAACUCCGUGCCAGCAGCCGCGGUAAUACGGAGGAUGCAAGCGUUAUCCGGAAUUAUUGGGCGUAAAGCGUCCGCAGGUGGCAGUUCAAGUCUGCUGUCAAAGGUCAGGGCUCAACCCUGAACAGGCAGUGGAAACUGAACAGCUAGAGUGCGGUAGGGGCAGAGGGAAUUCCCAGUGUAGCGGUGAGAUGCGUAGAGAUUGGGAAGAACACCGGUGGCGAAAGCGCUCUGCUAGGCCUGCACUGACACUCAGGGACGAAAGCUAGGGGAGCGAAUGGGAUUAGAUACCCCAAUAGUCCUAGCCGUAAACGAUGGAUACUAGGCGUAGCUUGUAUCGACCCAAGCUGUGCCGUAGCUAACGCGUUAAGUAUCCCGCCUGGGGAGUACGCGCGCAAGCGUGAAACUCAAAGGAAUUGACGG
rnacentral:rRNA from 1 species